rnacentral:rRNA from 1 species
UCCUACGGGAGGCAGCAGUGGGGAAUAUUGGACAAUGGGCGAAAGCCUGAUCCAGCCAUGCCGCGUGUGGAAGAAGGUCUUCGGAUUGUAAAGCACUUUAAGUGGGAGGAAGGGCAGUAAGUUAAUACCUGCUGUUUGACGUUACCACAGGAAUAGCCGACCC